rnacentral:lncRNA from 1 species
GUUUGUACCGUGGAAAGAUUCUGGUUAGAGCGCUCAUUUUUUCCUGUGACUGUUACAGACGUGGGGAAAUGCAGAGAAUAGCUAUAGUUCCCUGUGGAUUUGCUCCAGUUCUCUUCAAAGGCAGAAUGUGGUAGAGCCAGCCCCUUGAGUUCCUCAGGUCUCCCUUUCAUUUUUCUCUGAAAGGACAUCAAAAUGCUGAAGAAUGCUUUUCUAACGUGUGUGCACCAUAGAGUUUGGAGACUCUAGUGGCAAUUUAUGCCCUGGAACUCAAGGCAACCUUCACUAAGACUGAUGGUAGCACAGACACUUCAUCACUCCUGUGUUCAGGUUUACUUAUCUUACCAGUAUUAAGUAUGUUCAGAAAGCUUACUUGUCCAAUAUUUUUCUUGCUGCCUUUGCAGGUACUGUGCCAUGUCCUCGUUAUAAACCUCUGGAAGCACUGAAGAGUGAUACAGGUUAUCUUCUCAGGGCUUGCCUCUUGCUCCAAGGCCAUUACUAU